GGCCCUUUUCUCAGGCAAAAUUCUAACAUCUGACCGCACCCUCCUCUCUUUGCUAUUUAAAAAGAGAAAGAAAGAAAGAAAGAAAGAAAGAAAGAAAGAAAGAAAGAAAGAAAGAAAGAAAGAAAGAAAGAAAGAAAGGAAGGAAGGAAGAAAGAGGGGAAAGAAAGGGAGGGAUAAAGAGGAAAAAAUAGCUGUGCUCCUGCUUCUUUCGUUCUAAGAUAAAUUCUCCCGGAGACAACCUCUCCCACUAAUUGUGUGUUAGCCAUGAAUUUUAUCUCAAGAGCUGACGCACUGGGCUCUCAACUGGUGUUGAAAAGCAGCCUGUUACAGUGUGGGAUUCAUAAAAGGGCCUCUAUGGUGUGUGAGAAAGAAUAUCUGUGUGCCUAGGCAGGAAACUUUUUGAUCUACAGAAAAGCCAGAAGACAUCUAGCAUACCAGAAUAGGAGUCCUGUCUUAACUGAGCAAUAUACACUAUGGAGAGAUCCUUCAAAACCCGUCGGGACGAAUAACAGAUGAAUUCAUAAAACUGUUCAUCUCUGUUAUCCUGAAUGGUCACUCAGACAACAUUUUACUCAACUAUAAAGGCAUUUGAACUGGUCGGACAGGACGACAGAGCAGUGAGCAUGAGAUCAUUGCAGCCGAGUAGCAAACUGGCACCCAGCCUUUUCACCCCUUCGGUUCGGGAGACGAACGUGUGCAGUCCUCGUUUCUCAAGUCAGCCUGGAAGGAUUCCGGGACUCUCCCACCUUCUACCAUUCUGCUGCCAGUCGGUGGCAACGAUUGGUGCAGAUUCUGCGCAGUGCUUUGUGCCUGGAAUAUGGAGAAGGAAGAGAAUGAAGACAAGCCCUCUGGACCUCCUUCUCUGAGAAAUACCGGGAGCCCAGAAGAAACAGAAAAAAAAAAAAUCCAAAACAAAAACAAAAAACCAAACCAAACAAAAACCCUGAGCUUCUCAGUAUUCGCCAGAGUGCUGAAAAAUACUGAUAAUGAUGCGGAAUGCCUGCGUGAAAACAAAAACAAACCAAAAAUGCAAACCGAGACAAACCCAAAAAAGCAAACUUUGGUUUGUCUAACUCCUGAGACAUCGGGCUUCGUUAAGCAGCUUGGAAGGCAACACAAAUCUAUGACCCUUCUUUCUUUUAUUUAUUUAUUUUUGUUAUUAUUUCAAAAAACAAUGGCCUAAGAGCAGUACAUUGCACUUGGUGAACCCGCACUUUCAUACCAGGGGAACACUUAAAGUGCAUAUGAGAAGAGAAGAGAAUGACCACAGGAGAAAAUCAUCUCAGGUAAAACGAAAAGGCACAAAUGUAGAGAGUAAUUAAUCUUAGAAUAUUAAAGAGAAAAUGAUUAUGUCUGUGUUUGGUAUAAGAAAUGGUCCUUCCCUUUAUGAAGCUACGUAUUUGGGAUUUUCACUGAUGGUUUUCCUUCAAGAGUUUACAGUAUUACUUGCCUUUGUCAACCUUUUGUUUGGUUUUGUGAUCAAUGCCCAGUGUCCAUCAUUCUGAGGACAUAUGUGUAUGUUGAUUUAUACAAUUCAGGUACAAGAUGGUUGAAUAGGAAGCUAUUUAAUGAAAAGGAAAAUAUGUUCUCAGUGGUUAUACAUUAUAAAAGGAAGUAAAAAUCUGAUAGAAAAGUAUAAGCUCAUAGUUUAUUUUUAAUCUUUUCCAUAUAUCUAGUAAGACAAUAAUGUCAAAGUAUAUUUUGUAGUAAUAAAAGCUACAGCCAGUGUUUCCUCUUUCUUUUUUUUAAACAUAAAAUGUAUAAAUAUAUAAGGAAAUACUUUUACUACAAUUGGAUGCAUGAUUGUUGAUUAUUUACUACAGUUUUAAUAAGUAGGAGAAUGAUUUGAAAAUAAAUAAUGGUGAAAAUUUGUGUAGGCCAAAUUAUCUGUAUUAAACUGGAGAAAAUACAUUCUAUUUUUAUUUAUUUCAAAACAUGCCAAAUCAUGAAGUAAUUACUAUGCAGUAUUAUUUUUCACAAUGAAGAUAUAAUUAAGAAAAGCUAAAUCAUUUUAGAUAUGAGUGCAAUGAUUAACGAUUGUACAACUUAUAAUUUUGCUUCAGAUGAGCUUAGAAUCCUAAAAAUGUACAUGUAACUGGCUUCAUGUGUGCUUACUGGCUUGCUUUCUUACAGUGUAGUAGCUGACAGAAUUAAGAAUCAUUUAUUUCAUUUCAACCUGUUGAACAGAGGAAUUAUAUGUAGCUGUGUAUUUUGUUGAAAGGAUAUAGUUCUUGGGAAAUAGAUUUAAAUGUGUUUUGUUGAAAGGGAAUGUAUGCUCCUUGGUGUGAUAUAAGCGACUACAAAUAUUCCAGAAUAGCAGGAAUAACACCGAUCAUGUCAUUGAUUUUAGGGUUUUUUGAUACCAUAUCUUUUCCUCACUGCUGUAAAAGUUUAAUUUCAUCCCCACUGUAGGCACAUGUCUGUACAUCUAGAAUUUGUGGGUUUUGUGUUCUUUACCUAGUCAACAAGACCUCAUUUGUUUAUAAAAAGCUAUAAUGUGACUAAAUCUCAAAAAUCAUUAACUGAGUUUUAUGUGAAUAAAUACAGUCACUCUAGUGCAUAUACAGUUUAAUAACUUCCUUUUUAGUUGUAGACUUAUCAUACUAUAUCUGUGCCUCACAACAGUAUAAUUCAUAUGUACAUAUAUUAGGUUCUCAAUUAGGACAUUUUAACAACAACGUUAAAAUAUUCACAGUUUAAAACAAAAGCAAUCUUUAAAAAAGAAAAAAUCAAGAAGAAAAGAGAGAAGUAAGAAAAGAAGAAAGGGAGGGAGAAAGAAAGAAAGAAAGAAAGAAAGAAAGAAAGAAAGAAAGAAAGAAAGAAAGAAAGAAAGAAAGAAAGAAAGAAAGAAAAGGAAAGAAGGAAGGAAGGAGAGAAGAAAG
ensembl:processed_transcript